GCAAUGUUUAACGGCCGCGGUAUUUUAACCGCGCGAAGGUAGCGUAAUCACUUGUCUUUUAAAUGGAGACCUGUAUGAAUGGCAUAACGAGGGUUUAUCUGUCUCCUCCCCCCAGUCAAUGAAAUUGAUCUGCCCGUGCAGAAGCGGGCAUCUCCGCAUAAGACGAGAAGACCCUAUGGAGCUUUAGGCAAAUGAUCAAGCGCACCAAAACCUACUUUCAACCAAACCUUAGGGAAAUAUAAAACCAAUGAUCAAGAUGCCUUCGGUUGGGGCGACCUUGGAGGAGAAACAAGCCUCCAAGUGGAACGGGAAAACCCUUUAACUAAGAAGAACAACUCGAAGUACCAGAAAUUCUGACCAAACAUGACCCAGGUUACACCUGAUCAACGAACUAAGUUACCCUAGGGAUAACAGCGCAAUCCCCUCCCAGAGUCCAUAUCGACGAGGGGGUUUACGACCUCGAUGUUGGAUCAGGACAUCCUAAUGGUGCAGCCGCUAUUAAGGGCUCGUUUGUUCAACGAU
rnacentral:rRNA from 1 species